UACGUAGGGUGCAAGCGUUGUCCCGGAAUUAUUUGGGCGUAAAGAGCUUGUAGGCGGUUUGUCGCGUCUGCUGUGAAAUUUCGGGGCUCAACCCCGAACUUGCAGUGGGUACGGGCAGACUAGAGUGUGGUAGGGGAGACUGGAAUCCAGGUGUAGCGGUGAAAUGCGUAGAUAUCUGGAGGAACACCGGUGGCGAAGGCGGCAUCCUGGACCACACUGACACUGAGGAGCGAAAGCCAGGGG
rnacentral:rRNA from 1 species